rnacentral:misc_RNA from 1 species
GAUGAAGAACGUAGCGAAAUGCGAUAAGUAAUGUGAAUUGCAGAAUUCAGUGAAUCAUCGAAUCUUUGAACGCACAUUGCGCCCGUCAGUAUUCUGGCGGGCAUGCCUGUUCGAGCGUCAUUACGCCCCUCAAGUCCCCUGUGGACUUGGUGUUGGGGAUCGGCGAGGCGGGUUUUCCAGCACAGCCGUCCCUUAAAUUAAUUGGCGGUCUCGCCGUGGCCCUCCUCUGCGCAGUAGUAAAACACUCGCAACAGGAGCCCGGCGCGGUCCACUGCCGUAAAACCCCCCAACUUUUUAUAGUUGACCUCGAAUCAGGUAGGACUACCCGCUGAACUUAAGCAUAUCAAUAAGCGGAGGA